rnacentral:tRNA from 1 species
GGGGUUGUAGCUCAGUGGUAGAGCACUUGCCUACCACGCAGGAGGCACUGGGUUCAAUCCACAGCACCACA